rnacentral:misc_RNA from 1 species
AUCUUUUAAAAUUAAACACCAACUAAUUUACUAAAUGGAAGGAGAAAAGCACUUAUUCCAAAAAUUUCAUAAAGGCCAAAUACAAAAAGUAGGGAAAAAAAACUCCCAGAAAGAAUCUACAUUAACCAAUAUAUACCACCAUUUAUCAUUUUACUUAGUUUCAUUUUAUGUUAAUGAUAAAUAAUUUUAAUGACCAAUAUGUCUUUGUGCAUUCCAGUUGUAUUCAUCUAUGAACACUAUGGUAAUCUCUAUUCCAGUUUCAGAAGAUCAGAAUCUGAAAACCAUAAAAGAAUAUUUCUUCUCAAGAGAGUUCAACCUUCAACUGCCUACUACCUUGUUCAAAACAUUGUACCUAGCCUACACUUAUACUAUAGAAAGAGUAUGAGAUAAUGUAGCAUAUUUUUGACAUGUUAUUAUGCCAUGGCCCCAAACUAAUCCAGAAGCCACCAAGAAUACACCAUGCAGUGUGCACAACUCUGACUAAUGCAUGUCAUAAGAUGAGAUUGCAACCAACUUUUGUGUCUUAAAUCUGCCCUGAAAAUAUAAAUAAAGGAAGCAUCUCACUGGUACAUGCUUAAUCCGACAACCUAUUCUUCACUGCACAUAUAGUGACAACACCUCCCUCCCCCAUCCCCCUCCUCUCUUCUUCCUUUUCUCUUGUAAUUUCAAUGUUGACGUGCACCGAAACUUAUUCUCUUGUACUCCUUGCUCUGACUUAAGCAACACUUUUCAAAAAUACUCACCACCCUCAAAAAAUUAGUUACGCAAAAAAAUGGUUUUUAUACUGCAUGUAGAAAUCCAACCAUGAAAUUAAACCAAACUGUAGAAUUUGCCAAAUCUAAACUAAUGCUCUCUUUCUCCUGAACAAUUGUAUACUGAUUAUCAUUGCACACCCAUCACCCAAAAGAAGUAUAAGGUGCCUGCCCUAAUAAAUGGAGGACAAAGAAAGCCUCAAGUGUGCCAGUGAGAUCAAGAAUCAGAAAGCUUGCAGGUCAACUUUGGAUUAAAUUUUGACACACAAAUUGUUGACAUGAGGCCUUUUAACAUAUAUACAAGGUAGCAUUCACACUUGCACUCUACAGUAACAACCAAAAGAGAAUCAUAUCAAACAUAACCCAGCUAGAAUACUGAGAUCACAAGUUGGAAAGAGUUGCCCUCCCAACCCACAAUGAUUGAAACAAAUUCUGAAGAGACACUAAGUCAAGACCAAAAGGUUAUAAAAACUUUAAUCAGACAAGAAAAUGCCAAAAUGACUACAGAUAAUUUGGGAAGAAAAAGAGGUUUUUAAUAGAAGAAAACGGAAUGAAAAAGCCACUAUUAAGGUGAACAGAAUUAUUGGUGCAACUAGCUAGCUAUAAAAGAUAAUUUUAACUUCUAUUAUCUAGAGCAGAAGUCCCAAACGUAGAAUCAGAAACUGCUUUACCCAUAAACGUCCAACAGUUAAACAUUUUCAAGGCCAGAAAUAAAGAUUUUUCAUUAAAAAAAGGGUAAGAAAUCUAACCUGAAAAUUUAUUUAUCCUAAUAUGUUAGUAAAUGCUUUUCCAAAAAAUACAUCAUUUUCAAAAGAAUGAAAGUAAGAAACCAUGUCAGGCAUUUGCAAGAAGGCCCCAAUGAUCAUAGACACUUGAUAACUCCUAAUAUCAAUCAUUUUAUAUUCACUAAUGAAUAUGAUCUCCCACGAAAAUCCCAAAAUCACAUACGACUUUUUUCAAUUAUCUUGAUCCAUUUUAGACGGGGAAAAAAACAGUUUAAUUUAUAACCAUGGCACCUCAGUAGUUCACUUACAAGUGAUUAAUAUAACAUCCACAAUAUCAUAGUGUUUUUUAACCAAAAUAGUUAUUGCCAAUAUCCCCUUACUUUCUACCCUCUCUAUGGCUAAUGCCUAGUUAUACAGGAUUCAUCAAUUGAUGGGGCACAAAUCCUCUAUCAUACAGAAAUAACUUCCCAUUUGUAAGACAUCACAUUGCCUAUAAACCCCAUUUUCAUAAAAUGACCCAAUUUGUUUUCUCUCGAUCAUCAUUAAAAUCAUAGAUAUUAUGUGCUCAAUUUACAAGGCAUCCACAUUUAUAGAUGGAACCCAUGCACAUGAAUCAAAAUUUUGAACCAGCUUGCCAUAGAUAAACAAAUACAUGCUUUCUAGAGCAGCAAAGACCCAAUCACCCACCUAACUACACAUUUAUACAAUCAUGUUCUUGCUUACAGGGCGGGUAUACAGUAGAAAUAACUCAAAAAAAUGAUUUGAUGUGCAGCAAUUUUUUUUUUUAACUCAACUACAAAGUGCAUAAAUCCAAUUAUAAGGAUUAAAAAAUACACCAAAAUCAAAGUAAUCAUCUCCUGUGACCAUUAAUCAGCCAUGCUUAUGUCCUCGCAACCAAAAAAAUAACCAUUCCUCAGAUGUCCAAUGCAGUCUAGCAACUGCACAAGAACUAGUAAGACCAAAAAAAGGGCAAGCUAGCAGAUACAUAUCAUUGAGCGUAUUUCAUAAAUACAUGAAUUAAGAACAGAUGAGGUUGCCAAAUUCACACAAAAUUUUAAAAUUGAGGAAAGCCAGAAAAGGAAAUAAACCUACCAUAACUACACGACUCCUCUGUUA